CUACGGGCGGCAGCAGUGGGGAAUAUUGGACAAUGGGGGAAACCCUGAUCCAGCAAUGCCGCGUGUGUGAAGAAGGCCUGCGGGUUGUAAAGCACUUUCGGUUGGGAGGACUGCUUCUAGCACUAAUAUUGUUGGAAGUUGACGUUACCUUCGGAAGAAGCACCGGCUAACUCCGUGCCAGCAGCCGCGGUAAUACGGAGGGUGCAAGCGUUAAUCGGAAUUACUGGGCGUAAAGCGCGCGUAGGCGGCUAGAUCAGUCGGGUGUGAAAGCCCCGGGCUUAACCUGGGAACUGCAUCCGAUACUGUCUAGCUUGAGUACAGGAGAGGAGAGUGGAAUUCCACAUGUAGCGGUGAAAUGCGUAGAUAUGUGGAGGAACACCAAUGGCGAAGGCAGCUCUCUGGCCUGAUACUGACGCUGAGGUGCGAAAGCGUGGGGAGCAAGCAGGAUUAGAUACCCCAGUAGUC
rnacentral:rRNA from 1 species